rnacentral:rRNA from 1 species
AUUGAACGCUGGCGGCAUGCUUUACACAUGCAAGUCGAACGGCAGCGCGGGCUUCGGCCUGGCGGCGAGUGGCGAACGGGUGAGUAAUGCAUCGGAACGUGCCCAGUAGUGGGGGAUAGCCCGGCGAAAGCCGGAUUAAUACCGCAUACGACCUGAGGGUGAAAGCGGGGGACCGAAAGGCCUCGCGCUAUUGUAGCGGCCGAUGUCGGAUUAGCUAGUUGGUUGGGUAAAGGCUUACCAAGGCGACGAUCCGUAGCUGGUCUGAGAGGACGACCAGCCACACUGGGACUGAGACACGGCCCAGACUCCUACGGGAGGCAGCAGUGGGGAAUUUUGGACAAUGGGGGCAACCCUGAUCCAGCCAUGCCGCGUGCGGGAAGAAGGCCUUCGGGUUGUAAACCGCUUUUGUUCGGGAAGAAAUCCUCUGGGCUAAUACCCCGGGGGGAUGACGGUACCGGAAGAAUAAGCACCGGCUAACUACGUG